GUGAACGGGGUAUGGUGGUAGGUAAACGGGGUAUGGUAGUAGGUGAACGGGGUAUGGUGGUAGGUAAACGGGGUAGUAGGUAAACGGGGUAGUAGGUGAACGGGGUAUGGUAGUAGGUGAACGGGGUAUGGUGGUAGGUGAACGGGUAGUAGGUGAACGGGGUAUGGUGGUAGGUAAACGGGGUAGUAGGUAAACGGGGUAGUAGGUGAACGGGGUAUGGUAGUAGGUGAACGGGGUAUGGUGGUAGGUAAACGGGGUAGUAGGUAAACGGGGUAGUAGGUGAACGGGGUAUGGUAGUAGGUGAACGGGGUAUGGUGGUAGGUGAACGGGUAGUAGGUGAACGGGGUAUGGUGGUAGGUAAACGGGGUAGUAGGUAAACGGGGUAGUAGGUGAACGGGGUAGUAGGUGAACGGGGUAUGGUAGUAGGUGAACGGGGUAGUAGGUGAACGGGGUAUGGUGGUAGGUGAACGGGUAGUAGGUGAACGGGGUAUGGUGGUAGGUAAACGGGGUAGUAGGUAAACGGGGUAGUAGGUGAACGGGGUAGUAGGUGAACGGGGUAUGGUGGUAGGUGAACGGGUAGUAGGUGAACGGGGUAUGGUGGUAGGUGAACGGGGUAUGGUGGUAGGUGAACGGGGUAUGGUAUUAGGUGAACGGGGUAUGGUAUUAGGUGAACGGGGUAUGGUGGUAGGUGAACGGGGUAUGGUGGUAGGUGAACGGGGUAUGGUAUGUAGGUGAACGGGUAUGGUGGUAGGAGAACGGGGUAUGGUGGUAGGGUCACAGGGUAGUAGGUGAACGGGGUAUGGUAAUAGGUGAACGGGGUAUGGUAGUAGGUUAACGGGUAGUAGGUGAACGGGGUAUGGUGGUAGGUGAACGGGGUAUGGUGGUAGGUGAACGGGGUAUGGUGGUAGGUGAACGGGGUAUGGUAGUAGGUGAACGGGGUAUGGUAGUAGGUGAACGGGGUAGUAGGUGAACGGGGUAUGGUAGUAGGUG
rnacentral:lncRNA from 1 species